UUCUCUUUCUUCUUUUAUUAUUUUAUAUUGUCUUUUUUUCUUUUGACUGAAUCUGCCAAAAAUCUUUUGCUUUCUCAAAACGUCCAUUCAACUGUUCCCUUACCCCAACCAAGAAAUUUUUCUUUCAAACGUCGCUUCAUAUGAUUAAACAUGUUACUGCAUCUUUAUCUUCCUUCUGCAACCACAUCAACCAUUCAACAACUAAGAGUAUAGAUAAGCAACAACAAAAUUGAAAAGGAUGGGAAGAAGAAAGGAAGAACAUCAAGGCUUUUUUUCUUCUGGUCAGAUCUGACCCGAUGGCCCUGACAUUUUUUCGAUUGGAAACAAAUUCAAGAGGAGCUGAAAAGAUGGUACCUUCAAGAUGUGUGGUGUACAAAUUGAGUGAAUCAUUCUCAUAAUUCCCAGUAACAAGUGGAUGAUAUAUGGAGAAAUAUUUAUUAUAUUUAUUAAACAUUGAAUAUUUAUUAUAUUUAUUAUAUAUAAUCAAUCUGGUGUAUGUAAUAUAUAUUUAACAUAAUGAGUUAUAUGUAUUAUAUUCAAAUUGGAAGAUCAUAAAACCAAUUUGAUAUAUGUAUUAUAUAUAUAUAUAAAUAUUGAAUGAAAUCUAUUUAUUUAUUUUUCUUCUUAAAAUAUAAGUUACUCAGAUUAUUGAAAUGUUUUUGGUUUAAAUUCUUUAAUUAUU